AUGAGGCUUUACUUGUAUCUCGUUCUCAUUGCAGCAGCGUUUGAAGGUGUCCGGUCCCAGGUGCAGCUGGUGGAGUCCGGAGGGGAUGUGAAAAAGCCCGGAGACUCUCUCCGCCUCUCCUGCAAAGCCUCCGGCUUCACCAUCCGCAGCUACGAGAUGAGCUGGGUCCGGCAGGCUCCCGGGAAGGGGCUGGAGUGGGUCGCCUACAUUUACAGCACCAGCAUAUACUACAGUGACUCGGUAAAAGGCCGAUUCACCGUCUCCAGAGAUGACCCCAACAGCCUGUUGUACCUGCAAAUGACCGGCCUGAAGCCCGAGGACACCGCCCGCUAUUACUGUGUCCAGUCCCAGGCGCUGGUGGAGUCCGGAGGGGAUGUGAAAAAGUCCGGAGACUCUCUUCACCUCUCCUGCAAAGCCUCUGGGUUCACCGUCGGAUAG